rnacentral:rRNA from 2 species
GACAGAGGGUGCAAACGUUGCUCGGAAUUACUGGGCGUAAAGCGCGUGUAGGUGGAUUGGUGUGUCAGAUGUGAAAGCCCUGGGCUCAACCCAGGAACUGCACCUGAAACUACCAGUCUUGAGUGGUGGAGAGGGAAGUGGAAUUCCUGGUGUAGAGGUGAAAUUCGUAGAUAUCAGGAGGAACACCAGUGGCGAAGGCGGCUUCCUGGACACUAACUGACGCUGAGACGCGAAAGCGUGGGGAGCAAACAGG